UUUAUAUUUUUUCCGUCCAACGAAAAAUGUCUCAACUUUGUCAAAAUUUGGAUGUAAUUAGAUAUGACUUAGUGUAUAGAUGCAUGCAAAUUUAGUCAGAGUUGAGACAUCUUUUGUUGGACGGAGUAGUAGUUU
rnacentral:pre_miRNA from 1 species